GUGAGGAAUAUUGGACAAUGGGCGCAAGCCUGAUCCAGCCAUGCCGCGUGCAGGAAGACGCAUCUAUGGUGCGUAAACUGCUUUUGUACGGGAAGAAACACUCCCUCGUGAGGGAGCUUGACGGUACCGUAAGAAUAAGGAUCGGCUAACUCCGUGCCAGCAGCCGCGGUAAUACGGAGGAUCCAAGCGUUAUCCGGAAUCAUUGGGUUUAAAGGGUCCGUAGGCGGUUUAAUAAGUCAGUGGUGAAAGCCCAUCGCUCAACGAUGGAACGGCCAUUGAUACUGUUAGACUUGAAUUACAAGGAAGUAACUAGAAUAUGUAGUGUAGCGGUGAAAUGCUUAGAUAUUACAUGGAAUACCAAUUGCGAAGGCAGGUUACUACUUGUGGAUUGACGCUGAUGGACGAAAGCGUGGGGAGCGAACAGGAUUAGAUACCCGGGUAGUCC
rnacentral:rRNA from 1 species